CUGGUUGAUCCUGCCAGAGGUUACUGCUAUCGAGGUUCGACUAAGCCAUGCGAGUCGAAUGUAGCAAUACAUGGCGUACUGCUCAGUAACACGUGGACAACCUGCCCUUGAGACGGGGAUAAACCCGGGAAACUGGGUAUAAUACCCGAUAGAUCUCGAUUGCUGGAAUGCAUCGAGCUUGAAAGCUCCGGCGCUCAAGGAUGGGUCUGCGGCCUAUCAGGUAGUAGUGGGUGUAGCGUACCUACUAGCCUACGACGGGUACGGGUUGUGAGAGCAAGAGCCCGGAGAUGGAUUCUGAGACACGAAUCCAGGCCCUACGGGGUGCAGCAGGCGCGAAAACUUUACAAUGCUGGAAACAGCGAUAAGGGGACCUCGAGUGCCAGGUUACAAAUCUGGCUGUCGUGAUGCCUAAAAAGCAUUGCAUAGCAAGGGCCGGGCAAGACCGGUGCCAGCCGCCGCGGUAACACCGGCGGCUCGAGUGGUAACCGUUAUUAUUGGGUCUAAAGGGUCUGUAGCCGGCCGGAUAAGUCUCUUGGGAAAUCUGGCAGCUUAACUGUCAGGCUUUCAGGAGAUACUGUCUGGCUCGAGGCCGGGAGAGGUGAGAGGUACUUCAGGGGUAGGGGUGAAAUCUUGUAAUCCUUGAAGGACCACCAGUGGCGAAGGCGUCUCACCAGAACGGACCUGACGGCAAGGGACGAAAGCUAGGGGCACGAACCGGAUUAGAUACCCGGGUAGUCCUAGCCGUAAACGAUACUCGCUAGGUGUCGGCAACGGUGCGACCGUUGUCGGUGCCGUAGGGAAGCCGUGAAGCGAGCCACCUGGGAAGUACGGCCGCAAGGCUGAAACUUAAAGGAAUUGGCGGGGGAGCACCACAACGGGUGGAGCUUGCGGUUUAAUUGGAUUCAACGCCGGG
rnacentral:rRNA from 1 species